UACGUAGGGUGCAAGCGUUGUCCGGAAUUAUUGGGCGUAAAGAGCUCGUAGGCGGUCUGUUACGUCUGCUGUGAAAACCCAGGGCUUAACCCUGGGCUUGCAGUGGAUACGGGCAGACUAGAGGCAGGUAGGGGAGAAUGGAAUUCCCGGUGUAGCGGUGAAAUGCGCAGAUAUCGGGAGGAACACCGGUGGCGAAGGCGGUUCUCUGGGCCUGACCUGACGCUGAGGAGCGAAAGCGUGGGGAGCGAACAGG
rnacentral:rRNA from 1 species